GCCCUCCCUUUUCUCCUCGACGAAGUUAUGGCGGCUUCCAAGACUCAGGGGGUUGCUGCCGGAAUGGAGGGAGAAAGUGGCAGAAGCCGUAGCGGGGUGGAGGGUGUUGCUUAUGAAGGUGACAAACCACUGCCUGUCCCAGCUGAAGGAUGCCCACAGGUCUCACUCCUUCUUCAAGAAGUGUCAAGCCAUAGUGAGCAUAUGCACAGUGGCCUGUUCCCUUGCCCCCGGGUCCAUAGAGAAGACAGUAAGGAUUGUAUCCUGGAGCCACUUUCCCUGCCAGAAAGUCCAGGUGGCACCACCACUUCAGUAGAUUCUCCAUCUGUGCCUUGUAUUUUCUGUGAAGAACAUUUUCCUGUGGCUGAACAAGACAAACUUCUGAAGCACAUGAUUAUUGAGCAUAAGAUUGUCAUUGCUGAUGUUAAGUUGGUUGCUGACUUCCAGAGAUACAUUUUAUAUUGGAGAAAAAGGUUCAGUGAACAGCCCGUCACAGAUUUUUGUAGUGUGAUAAGAAUUAAUUCCACAGCUCCAUUUGAAGAACAAGACAAUUAUUUUUUGUUAUGUGAUGUUUUACCAGAAGAUAGAAUUCUUAGGGAAGAGCUUCAGAAACAGAGACUGAAAGAAAUUCUGGAACAACAGCAGCAAGAACGAAAUGAUACCAGUUUUCAUGGCAUUUGUAUGUUUUGUAGUGAGGAAUUCCUCGGAAACAGAUCUGUUCUUUUGAACCACAUGGCCAGAGAACAUGCUUUCAACAUCGGAUUGCCUGACAACAUUGUAAACUGCAAUGAAUUUCUGUGUACCUUACAGAAGAAACUUGACAAUUUGCAGUGCCUGUACUGUGAGAAGACCUUCAGAGAUAAAAACACACUCAAAGAUCACAUGAGAAAAAAACAGCAUCGUAGAAUCAAUCCAAAGAACAAAGAAUAUGACCGAUUUUAUGUCAUUAAUUAUUUGGAACUGGGAAAAUCAUGGGAAGAAGUUCAAUUGGAAGAUGACCAGGAGCUGCUCGAUCAUCAGGAAGAUGACUGGUCUGAUUGGGAAGAACAUCCUGCCUCUGCUGUCUGUCUCUUUUGUGAAAAGCAAGCAGAAACAAUUGAGAAACUAUAUGUUCACAUGGAGGAUGCACAUGAAUUUGAUCUCCCCAAAAUAAAGUCAGAACUUGGAUUAAAUUUCUAUCAACAAGUGAAACUGGUCAAUUUUAUUCGGAGGCAGAUUCACCAAGGUAGAUGUUAUGGCUGCUGUGUGAAGUUCAGUUCCAAAGCAGAUUUAAGGUUUCACAUGGAAGAAAAUAAACACACUUCAUUACUUCCUGAAAGAAAGAUAUGGGAUCAACUGGAGUACUAUUUUCCAACCUACGAAAAUGACACACUCUUGUGUACACUGUCUGACAGUGAAAGUGACCUGACAGCUCAGGAACAUAAUGAACAUGUCCCCAUCAUCAGUGAAGACACAUCUAAACUGCAGGCUUUGAAACAAAGCAGUAUUUUGAACCAGUUGCUACUUCAAGAGUCCUUGAAAAACUAGAAGAAACUGAAGAAGUGACUUCUCAUGAUUUUCUGAGCUAGACACAGAAGAACAGUUUAAAUCUUAGUAUCAGCAAAGGAUUAGUCCUUAGUGAAUAAAACUGUGUAAGAAGCCACAAAAGAAAAGAAAACUGGUUAAAGAUCUGGAUACAAAUUGAACACUAUUUUCACACAAGAACCAGCCAACCUGGCAUGGUAGUGCAUGACUGUGAUCCCAGCAUUUGGGAGGCUGAGGCAGGAGGUUUGCUGCGAGUUGAGGACCAGACUUGGCUACAAGAGAAUCCUAAUACAAGGAUACACUAAUGAAGGUGAGAACGACAUUGUACUCAGAUUGUUGUCCUGUGAAGAUGGUUGACUUUGAGCUUAAUACUGGAGCACACUGAGCAAAGAGCAAAAAUGAGCAACAAUGUUUCGAAAGGACACGCCUCGUUUCCCAACAUCUUGUUUCCAUGGCAAAGGGAAAUAUAUAGCACAUUUGGUUUCUCUCUGCUGGAAGGGAGAUGGAUGAAUUCUCUGACUGAAAAUUGAGAAACCAGGAACUAGGCCUCCGUGCCUCAGCUUCUUCCUCAUUCUCUUUGGGGGCUGCCUGUGUGCGGGGUGAACACACCCCUUUCUGCUCCUUUAUUCUGCAAGUUGUAAAGCUGCAGGCUUUGUCCACAAGUUGAAAGCCAGAAGUUGCCCAGCACUAUCUGUCACUGCCUAAAAGUUCAUUUGCCCACAGCUGCAAGCCAUUGUCUCCAAUGUCAUCUUCAUUAGCAAUAAAGGUAGUAUCUCAUCUCUCCUUGACCAUUUAUCUGUUAGCCCACCUAGAAGGUAUCCAGCCAAUCAAGGAAGGACUAUAUGGCAAAGAUUGCUAGAAAAUCAGUGCUUAGGUAUAACCACUGCACAUACUGUCCAGUCAGUCAAGAAGUAAAUUAGAUUUCACUCCCUGUGACACUAAGAUUAGGCAAUAUAGGCAGAGGAACAAUGGCCAGAAUAUCACUAGUGAACUAGCUGGAUUCAGAACUGGAGUCUUACAUUGAGUUCCACCAGAAGCAGACCUUAUAACAAGAAUUACAGCAUAGUUCAUUUACUUAGGAGGUAAACUAAGAAAUACCAGUUCACUGAAAAGGUAAAAUGGAAUACACAAUAAUGAAGUUACCCAUGUCUGAGCUAGGACUCAACCUUACAGCAGUUGUCAAAAAAACUGCACAGAGCACUUUGUAAGUUGCCUGCCCUGCUCCCAACCCACUACCAAAAAGCUAGGAUUUGUAUUUAUCCACCAGCUUCACUGGUCACAGGAUGAGGGCUAUUCUCAUGAGUAUCAAUUUCUGCCAUAUGCAGUCUGUCUUGCACAUUGGCCUAGCAAGCCUGGAGCCUCAAGAAGGCCCUCAUAAAUAGUGAGGAAACUGUAGUGCAAAAACAAUAAAUGUGGUCCGGGAAUGACACUACUACAACUCUAGCUGUGUGGCCACAAAAGUUUAGUGACUCAUCUUUUUCAUUUAUUCCCUCACUUGACACUAUAAACACAAUAUUUCGAGGUAUCUAGGCAGGAAUUUUUAUUCCCAUCAGGAUAAAAAGGAUAAGAAAACCAAAGGGGGUAGGGCAGGGGUGGAAAGCACAAAGAAAUAUCCACAAAUAAUAAUGAGAAUUUACAGUGAGACAAAGCCAAGCCCUGAACUUUUUAAGUGAAUGGACUAAAAGCAAUUUUUUGAACAGAUGAAGAAUUUGAAAUCAGAUUAAGAAUGAAUCUUUUAAUGUAAGAGCUUUGUGGAAUAAAUAUGCAGAAUUUGCACACCCAGGCCACUUCUCCCAAGGCAUCAAAUUACAGCUAUUGUUUGCUGAGUCUGCAAAAAUAGCCACCUAAUAUCCCAGAAGCUUAAUAGCAACUCUUUCAGUAGCUUUAGAUGAUGGAUAACUAGAAGAUUAAACCAGGGGCAGCAGUUGAACUCUUUUGCCUGUAAUUGGUAUUUUGAAAAGCUAAACAUGCUCAAUUUCUGAUCAUAGCAAUUUGCUAGAUUGAAUGGCAUAGCAAGACUGUUAAUUCAAACUGAAAACGUUCCACAGUAGUUUCACAGUGUUCUAAGAAUCAAGUGAGCUAUUUCCUUUUGGAUUAUAAAAUUAGACUAGAGAACAUGGCAGAUAGAUAGCAGCAGCUAUAGAGGCUCUCUGAGAUACUCCACUUAGAAUCCAAGAAUGGUGCAGUGCAAGGAUUCCUAAGCAAGGGGAGAUAUACCCUGCCGACCCAGGAACAAACUAAGUUGAGAGAAACCAACUGGAAAUGCAAGUCUGAUGCUAUAACUGGAACAGAUAAAAUCUCAGCACGGAAGCUAGAACCCACGCCACUGCUGCAAUUUGAAUUUCCUGCUGCCGCUGCUGCGUCCAAAUCAGCACGGCAGGGAGAGAGACAUGCAAAAACUCUGAGAGUGGGAAUCGGCAAACGGAGCUGAGAGCGGAACUGGCAGGCAGCUCUGCAUCAACUGCAGUGAGUGAGCGGAACGGGGACCCUUCCAUAGAGUAAGAGGCUUCAGCAAAGGACAUACUGGGACUGGGCAGACUUGCCGGAACAAGACGCUGCAGUGACUUUAGUCGCAUAUUCCCCUCUCAAGCAGGAUUGGUGGGGAGUGUCUGGCCUGAUGAUGCCACUAAAACCCAGUAGGCUAGCCCAAACCAGGUCCCAGUGCCUGGAGGAGCACCCUAGCAGUGAAGCCUUCAGGAGGUUGACCUGGAGGGGUGGGCCCAGCAAGGCUGCCCAGGUCUGUGUCUCCCUAGUACACCGCAGUGGGCGGGAACAGCUAGCCAGCACAAUUCAACUGUAACAGACAAAGAGAAAAAAAAAAAAAAAAAACUGGGCCUCCUAUAUUUGCUUGUAUGGAAGGAACAAAAAGUAGGGGAAGACAAAGCAACAAGAAAGGGUCGUCAGUCCCCAAUCCUGAGAACACUGAUCAGGAAAGGUGAAUGCAAAGGAGAAUGAGGACAAAAAACAUACAGUAUCAGACACGGCACCAAUAGACAUAAACCAAUAUCUCUGGAGCCUCAUAGAUGAGUUCAAAAGAGAAGUAUUUAACAAAAUAAAGAUAUAAGUAGAGUAGUUAGAGAAAUGCUAAGCACUGCCCAAGAAAAAACAGAUGGUGGAAUGGAAGAACAGAAAAAAAGGGGAGAAUUGUUUGAUGGAGAAAAUAGAGAAAACAUAGAAUACAUGAAGCAGGUUCAAAGAGAUUACCAGGAAACUAAAAACUAUCGAAAGCUGGCAUAACCGCUUGAAAGAAACUAAAGAUAGAUUAUCUGAAUUGGAGGGCAGAUUUGAAACAUGGGAACGUGAAAUGAAAAACUUCUUAAAAAUAACAAAGAAACAAACAGCAAUAAUACAAAGGCUAGAAGAUGAUAGGAGGAUCUAUAACUUAAGAAUUAAGAACAUGAAAGAAGAAGUAGGGACACAAACAAAUGGACUACAAAAGCUAUUCACAGAAAUAAUCCAAGAGAAUUUCCCUAAUUUAGCAAAAGGUAAAGAUACUCAGAUGUAUGAGGCAUACCGGACCCCAGCCGCCUACCACCCAAACAGAGCUAUACCCAGGCAUAUAAUAAUCAAAUUUCCAGAAAUUCAAUAUAAGAAUAUUAAAAGCCAUCAGAGACAAGAAACAGAUCACUUACAAGGGAACACCCAUCAGAAUUACAGCAGACUUCUUGGCACAAACCAUCAAAUCAUGAAGAGCGUGGGAGGAAAUAAUUCAAGCUUUGAAAGAUAAUAACCUCCAGCCAAGAUUGAUAUAUCCUGCACAACUGUCCCCGGGAAUUGAUGGAAAAACAAGGUGCUUCCAGGAUAAAGAGGAACUAGGGGAAUUUGCAACCACCAAUUCAACUCUACAGAGAAUAUUGCAGGAUAUUCUAAAAAAGGAAAAUACUAAGAUUCCAGAAACAGUAGCAGAGAGGCCACAAUGAAUGGAGCAAAAAGCAAAAUGAAGAAGACAAACUGACAACAAGCGACAGAAAAAGAUCUCAACAGAAAUGAGGCAGAAAAGAUUGGAUGGUAGGAACAGCUAUUUUGGACAAAACAAGACAUUAUAAUAGCUAGUGCUGAUUUAGUAUCAUCUUGUUUUGAAGUCCCAUCAAGCUUUUAUUCUUCUGUCUCCAUGGGUCUUAACAGGUUGUAUCUUAUUGGAUUUUAUUAUAUGUGAUAAUAUAAGCAAAAAUGUUUAUAGACAAGGAGAUUAUACAGAAACCAUUGUUCAUUUUCUGAUAGUUCUAAAUACCCUGUAAUACUGUCAUUCUCUUGAAUGGUUUUACAUUGUCUUGAUAUGUUUGGUGCUACAGUAUACAAAGUUAUACUCAAAGAUUUCAAGGAAAGAGACACUAUGGUAACUACUUUUAUGCCAGGAUAUCUUGUGGUGAAACACUAUUUUGCUUAUGUUUUGACCUGUGCUGUUUUGUUGUUAUGCCCUCUUGCUUAUGUUUUGACCUGUGCUGUUUUGUUGUUAUGCCCUCUUUUAUCUCAAUCUCCUUUUUUAAUUAUUUAUUAAUUAUUAUUUAUUUUUAUCUUUUUAAUUAAGGGAAAAAUAAAAAAUAGGAUACAUUAUACUAACCCACUUUGAUUUCCUAUUAACUUCAUUUGAAACCUUGUAUUGCCCCCGCCAUCUUGUUUUGACUGAUUUUCCCCUAUUCUGCUUUGCUUGAUAGUACCAAGUUCAAAAGUAUAGGCAACAACUGUGAAGACAAUAAGAUUCAUUAUGAUGCCCAUUCUGGUUGACUAUUAUCUUCUUUUAAAGUCCUGUAAUGUCUUCAAUGUUUUGGUUUUAUUGUUUACUGUUUUGUUCAAUUUUAUUAUAACUAAUGAUAUAGGCAAUUCUUUUUAAGAUAGCAAGAGGCAGUAUGGUAACCAUUGUUGAUCACCUAGUAUUUUGUUUUUCCAUUACCUAUUAUGUCCAUCCUUUUGAUUUGACUGACUCUGUUCUGUUAUGUCACAUUUAGUUUUACUCUCUUCAAUAAAAAGUGGUAAGAACUGUGGGAGUAAUAAAACCCAAAAUGUGUAAUUGUCAUUGUACAAAAGAAAGUGCUCUGAAGGAUAUAACUGCAUAUAUAUUUAAGUGUGUAAGAUAGAUAACCAUAUUACUGAGUUUUGUUGGAUCAUUGAACAGAACUGUUUGCAGUCUCACUCUUUGACGGUCCACUUUAUAUGCUUUAAUUUUGUAACUUGAACAACUAUUUCUAAGAUAACAAUAUGUAAUCUAUUAACUAGUGAUUUUCUACUGUUUAUUCUUUCUGAAAUUCUGUAUAACUUUUACCCUUUUUCUGUUUUUUCUUUUUCUCCUUAAAUAAAAUUUUAAAAAAUAAAAUAAAAUUAGACUACCAAAAAAA